CUCUGUUGUCGUGGAACGAAGCUGAAGAUUCACGAGAUGAAAUUGCGUCAUCGAGGAUUUUAACCCUCGCGACCCGAUUCUGCAUUUAUAGUGCGUUUUCUCCAUGUGAUCAACGUGAAAUCAAAUAUUUGGUGUUUGGUGUAUUACAUUGCACAAAAUAUUUGCAGUUUGCACAUUCUUUUCCACAGCACGUAACUGAAGCAACAAAUACAAUGAUGCAAUUCUCGGUACAUUUUAUAACCGUCGUAAAUCAUUGCUCUUGAGAAUGUUGGAUGAAAGCUAUCUUAAACAAGGAUGAAAAGUAUAACAAGUAAACUGAAGUUCUUCGUUGUUGACGAAUAAUCAGUACUUAUUAUAAAGUAUAGAAAUAAUUAUUUAUAUAAAAAGAUAAAAUUACAUAGGCAAAUAUACAUAAAUAUCUCGAAUCAACGUAACUCUUGUCAGAAAAAAAUGCAUCAACGAAUCGAAUACUUGUCGUCCAUUGAUGAAGUAAACCGCUAGAUUGAUCUGCAACAGUCAAUAUUUCCAGUACACAAGAUAAAGAACAUUUUUAGAUGCAGACGCAGUGGCCGUUGGCGAGAAAUGUUCUGGAAAGUUUAUCACGAGAGUUUUACUCUCAAAUACACAGCGUUGUUUAACAGUUACAUCAUACGAUCUUCGAGCUGUCGAUCAAGCACGGGGAGGUUGACGCUGCGUUUCAAAGCAGGUCGAAGUAUAUAGAGCGAUGGUGUAAAAAUCCGCGGAAACGAGGAAAAAAUUUCCAACAAACGAGCAAAUCACCACUUAUCUCGUCGAGACGAUAUUUUAAACUCGGAUGCUUACCGACGGUUUAGCGAGAUUCACACUUCCUCUUAAUCCACGUUUAUUCCAAUUAUCAGGCGUAAAGAUGAACUAAAACUCUUUACGAGAACAAAUCUUCUUCCUUCAGUACUCCGUGAUUCCACCAGUGAAAGGCAUUGUGUGAAAUCUAACGAUGGUUUACGAAGAAAUAAAUUUAAAGAUCCUCCAGAGAUUGAAUUUGCAAGCAAUUAAAGCGAUAAUAUUUUAA
rnacentral:lncRNA from 1 species